rnacentral:rRNA from 1 species
CCUACGGGAGGCAGCAGCCGCGGUAAUACGUAGGGUGCAAGCGUUAAUCGGAAUUACUGGGCGUAAAGCGUGCGCAGGCGGUUUGUUAAGACAGUCGUGAAAUCCCCGGGCUUAACCUGGGAACUGCGAUUGUGACUGGCAAGCUAGAGUACGGCAGAGGGGGGUGGAAUUCCUGGUGUAGCAGUGAAAUGCGUAGAGAUCAGGAGGAACACCGAUGGCGAAGGCAGCCCCCUGGGCUAGUACUGACGCUCAUGCACGAAAGCGUGGGGAGCAAACAGGAUUAGAUACCCUGGUAGUCCACGCCCUAAACGAUGUCAAUUAGUUGUUGGUUCUUUAUUGAAUCAGUAACGUAGCUAACGCGUGAAAUUGACCGCCUGGGGAGUACGGUCGCAAGAUUAAAACUCAAAGGAAUUGACGG